rnacentral:rRNA from 1 species
GACGAACCGUCCAAACGUUAUUCGGAAUUACUGGGCUUAAAGGGUGCGUAGGCGGUCUGUUAAGUUGGGUGUGAAAGACCUCGGCCUAACCGAGGAAUGGCGCCCAAAACUAGCGGACUUGAGUAAGGCAGAGGUGAACGGAACUUAGGGUGGAGCGGUGAAAUGCGUUGAUAUCCUAAGGAACACCAGUAGCGAAAGCGGUUCACUGGGCCUUUUCUGACGCUGAGGCACGAAAGCCAGGGGAGCGAACGGG